rnacentral:rRNA from 1 species
CACACACCGCCCGUCACAUCCUGAAAGCCGGUCGAACCCGAAGUGGCUGUAGCAACCCGCAAGGGAGCGAAGUCCCUAAGGUGCGGUUGGUGAUUGGGAUG